GGGGUUGUCCCGGGUUCGCUAGGGACAUGAGGCGGCUCGGUCACGUCGAGGUCGCGGUGUUCUCGUAAAACAUGCCGCAUGAAGACAAUUGCCAAUCUCUUCGCGAAGGCCUCGAACAUGAUCGCUUCGGCGUUCCGUGUUCCGACCUUCUCCUCGGUUGUCGCCUAAUAGCCACAACCCAUCCGUCCCCUGAUGCUCGAUAGCGGGAUUAGGGUGUCAUCGUAUCGAGCUCGGUCGCGCGGUUGCUGGUCCCGCGCGACUUAAGAGGCAGGCCGACACGUCCGUGCAGGUUUCGUUCCGCCUCCACUGCAUGGCCGUACCCAGGCGGAACUAAACGUGUAGCAACGUGCCGUUGAUCGUCCUUACACAGGGGUUCAAUUCCCCUCAACUCCACCA
rnacentral:tmRNA from 1 species